CAGAGACGGACGACUUUCCUGCUCGGUGCCGAGCUGUGAUUGUUAAGUGUCUGUCCUGUGGAGCCGGAGGUUGUUGACUUUUUCAGGUUUGCGGGAUUAAGAUUAUGCUCAGUCGCCCGUGUCAGGAUGCUCCUCCGGGCUCCCUGGAGCACAAACUUGGUUUAACGUCUGAGAUAAAAGGUAGAGAUGUGGGUGUGAUUUGUUUUUGUUCCAGGCAAAAAACCGGUGAGAUAUGUUUUUGACGCGACACCUGGCGCGAUUGAAGUGUUUCAUCCCACAAGUGUCCACAGCCUGUAGCGCCUCCGCUGCGUCACAACCGCGACGUUACAACGGCCGAGAAGCCGCCGGCGUUGAAAUGGCGGGGUUUGUUCUUGAUAACCCAAUAAAUAACCUCCAGUGGAGAGCUUAAUGCGCAGCUAUAGACACUGUAAGGAUGCAAAGGCUAUUCGAGGAAUGAGAUAAAAUUAUUUUAUUGCGUUAAACCUUAAUUUGUGAAGCACGCGAACGAAGAGAAAUAAAGGUUUUCCAAGGAAUUCGUUCGAUAUUUAUGGAGAGAACAGCUGCCCCCACCGUGACUGUCCUGCUUUGCGGCCCUGAAGUAUCUUGAUUACAGAAGUGAUUGUCUCUACCCAGUCCCUCCCCAGAGCAGUACGGUCGGUCAGCGGUCCCUGGUCCCUGUGGAUCUGUGUGGAGAGGAGAGGUUAGGGAGUGAGGCCUUUUGAGCUUUCUCAGCCCUAUUGGCAGCAGAGGUGGAAUUGGAGAUGUGCAUUUCCUGGUGACUCUGUGACCGUGCCGGACAGCUCUGUUAAUGAGGUGACUGGGCAACUGGACUGCAGGGUCCUGCCUGGACAGCAGGGUCGGUCCUGACUGCUCUUGAGCAGCAUGUUGAGCUUCUCCGGGCCUCUCCAGCUGCAGGGUGGUAUUUCACAUCAGUGCAUCCGAGCAGCUGCAGGUUUGCCCUCAUGCUACAGCAGGAGAGCUUCCACAGCUGGAACACUCUGGAGCGUGUCAAAGCUCCGUCCUCCCCCGUUGUCGCGUACCCAUUCGGGCCACUUUCCAGACGUGCUGUGGGUGUUGGUUUCCCAGCCGGCACCUGGCUCGGAGCACCAGUGGCCGAGAGCGAUCCAGUGUUGCAGCUGAGGGCCUCAGAGCCUGCUGUUGCAGU